UCACCUAUACACGUACCUCAUUCCCCAUUCAUUGACCGCUGAAUGUUUUUUAUUUAAUGUCAUCUAGACAACAAUAAACCCUAUCCCAACUGUAGGCCUUCUCUUUUCAAUCAUGCCAACACGGAGCCUCCAAAUGGGUUAUGGUAUUGCAAAAGUGAUACUGAAAGAAAUGGGCCUACUCACCUUCAUUAGAGGUGGCAACUUGACGCGGCUGACUUGUGGAGGAGGCUGAUUCAGAAACCCGUUGCUGGUUGCCCGGAGGCUGUGUCUGCAGUCGGUUCCAGCGUGUAUGGAAGCCGAUGAUGAAUCGUUAUCUCCGGGCGGUGUGUGGGUUGUCCGUGUAAUAAAGUAGGGACCAGAAGCGGAGACAAUAGGAAUUUGUCACAGUUUGGUUCUCGACAUUUUCGGCGACCUGUCCCCCUCCCCAUGGGUGUAAGAUGUUUUGGAUGACUUGGAUAGAUUUGCAAACAACUGUGCCAUUGUUUGCAAAAUAGGAAAAGAGUUAUAGGUUACGUCCAAUAUCAACAAUAAAUACAUUUUGACAAUACUUAAUACUAAUAUUACAAUAGAUGGAUGCAUGUAUGCAUCAACACGUGUCACAUUUCCCAAAAUAUGUAGCCUAUUAAAAAAAGGGAUGUAGGUGUGUUUUGAAGGCCAUGUCUGAGUCUGAACGUUAUUGUCUCUAAAAUGUUGUUAGCUGAGUGAAAACCAUUGCACAGAGUAAUGGGACUGUGGGUGGUUUAUAUAAAGAUUGGCUACCGUGUAAAUUGUUGUCAAUAAAAAUAUUGAGACACAUUA